AGAAACCCUUAAUAAUAUUCUCUUAACUUUCAUUCGCGAACUGUUUUACCCUGUAAUUUCUUCUCUUUCACACAGACGAUGCAUCAUCGUCUUCCUUGCUUCUCUAUCGAGGUGCAUGUUCCCCUUCAAGCAAGAGUUCUCCUUCGAUGAACGCCUCCGUGAAUCGCAAGACAUCUUAGCCAAGUAUACCGACAUAAUUUCCGUAAUGGUUGAAAGAUAUUCAAAGAUUGAUCUACCUGAGAUGGAGAAGAAGAAUCGACCUCGUUCUCUUCAUUUUCUACUAGGAAAAUCUCUAUAAGCUUGAGGAAAUUCUCAAUUGUGACGGCGGUUGGUAAGGGGAAGAAGAAAUCCGAUUCUCAUAGCUUCGUCUCCAGACCAGAUGAAGCUGCCGGUUUUUUUCUGAAGCUCUUUUGCUCAAAGAGGAGAACUUUUUAAACAACUGAAUCUUUAGCUGGAAAGUGAUCCUGGACUGAAGAGGAUGAGACACUGUCAAGUUGUAUACUUGAUUCAUGAAGAUCACGAUGAAGAGGUGGAGAAUGUAAACUCCAAAGUCAGAGGCAUCAUUCGAUGAAAACUCGUUGUUCAUGAUAACCAUGUUAAGAGAAUACGGAUUAGAACAAUCAUUUUUCUACUAGAUGAGUUUGACUUGUUUACACAGGUAUAAUAGUAUAAUAGUGUGAUACCAAUACUCUUAUAUUAUGAUUUCUAAUAUUUCACAUGUUGAUAUUUGUUACCUCUUUAAGGUAAACAAAAGUUUUUUAUAGCUUGUUGGACGUAUUGCAAUAUAUAUCAUCACAAGUUGUGGUUAUUGGUCUAAGUUGUCUUACUCAUAUGUGAUGCUAUAAUGUUU